UUUUGCAUGUGAUCUACUCUCGUUUUGUUGUCUUGGCUGUCUCCAUUCUUACGUCUUCAGGGUUAUGGAUGCUUUGAUCCGUGAUGACUGUUUUGGCGUUUUCUCUGUUGGCGGUUUAUCAGGGCUUCUUAUCUUUUUUCUUUCUUAUCUUAAGAGAAACAUGUUUUUUUCGUUUUGGUAUAGAACAUGGAGAAGCAAUCGGGAUGUGUCUCUGAUCAAAUCUUAUUUCCUCGUUUUAGGUUCCUCUGUUUCCUCGUUCUAUAUUUUAUUUCCAUGAAUUACUCUCAUCUUUCUCGGUAUUUAUGAAAGGAUGAUCUGUUUUCUUACCGUUGUAUUUGUGGUUUCUGUGUUACUCGACUUUGGUUUCCAUCUUAGAUCGUGAAGAAUCGACGAGAAAGGAUUCAAUUCCCUUUGUGGAUGGAAAUGAUGGUUUGCGCAUGAUUUCGAUUCCUUGGUUAUACCCUUUUUGCCUACGGACUAUUUUUGUCAGAGUAUUUGUUAUUGUGGAGAGGUAUUGUGUCUUCUGUGUGUUUCCAGAUCUGCUUAACCAAUCAAUUCACUCUGUUCCUCGGCGGUGUACAGACGUUCAGAUGAAAGAUGAAUCAUGACAGAAAACUCGGUUUGAUCUUAUUUUUGCUGUUUUCAAGAUGAAGUACUUCACAAUUCACUCUGUCGCAUGAAGUAGUUUUAAGUUUGUCAAGUGUAAGGAGGUCCUAUGAUGCAGAAAACUCUCUUGUCUUUUUGUUGUAGAUGGUUGAGGUUUCAAAAGAGAAAAUCAGCAGGCUACUACUUGGACUCUUUCAUGGUUUAUCUGCUUUGGUUUGUUUCUCACGCUACAUAUAGUCAGUUUAUGUGCUUCUCUUCUUUGCUCUCUUUUGGCCUUUUUGAUUUUUCAGUCUGCAUCUAUUCUAUGGCUUGAAUGCAAAUCACUUCUCCCCCGAGAUGGUAGCCUCUCUUUCUCUUUGAAUUCUGUUUAUUAGUAGUAUAGGAGGAGUUUGGAUGAUUCUGUUUCGACCUGUUGUUUAUAGUCCCCUGUAUCAGUAGUUUCAAACUUCAACAUGGUUGUCUCAUCAAGGAUGAAUUUGGAGCUUCCAGUAUUUGAUGGAUUCAGGUGUCACUAUAGAUUGUUGCGUGUGCAAGUGAAGUUGAUCUCCGAGCUCUUCAAUGGUUGCCUCGAGGAGCAGUUGUCAGUUGAGGGUUAUGCGCUAUCUCUGCUUUUUUAUUUAUUUAAUGCAUGACUACUUCUCUCCCCGGGUUAAUUUGAUAUUUGUCAGCAUGUUCUGGGCUUGGUCUAUUUUCUACAGCAACCAACCAUAAGGUAACGUUGAAGUUUUCUUAUGAGUUUUGCUCCUCCUCCUCUAUAUGGAAACGUUUUGUUUUGGACAAUGAUCUUUUUAUAGUCUCUGGUGAUAAGUCGGCCGCGGGUGGAUAAAGCUCAGAUAUCUUGGCUCUUGAUCCUGUAUGUUCUCUUUUUUUUUUAAAUGUAGCUACCAUGCUUGUUCUUGUGUUUUUUUUCUUUUAGAUUGUGUUCUUUGUCCUUAGUGUUCCCAGAUUUUCAGUUCAUCAACCAGUUCCUCCUCGUUGUACACCCAUUCAAGUUGAAAGAUGAUCAACAGAUGGGUUUGCUCUUUUUUUUUUGUCCGGUCCUGGUUUGAUUUGUCCUGUAGAGAAAGCUUUUGUAUUGAUUGAUCUUCAACUAUUCCAUCGAUCCUUUCCAGCGUCAUCCGUGUUUUCGAUUGUAGAGCUUUGAAGAGAAAGCAGCACUUGUCAGGGAAGGAUGGUUCUCUUAUAAUCAGGUUUCUGGUUAUUUCGGUUCUAUACAUCACAUUGCCUACAUAUUUUUUUUUCCUCAACAGCUUUUGUGGGGAAUAUAUCAUUUCUCUUUUGUUUGUUUCCAGAAUCUCUGCGGAGGAUGAUUAUUUGUAAAUGGGUUUGUUCUUAUUAUUAGUCCUUUAUGGCUCCUUUUUUCUAAUACUGUGUACGGUGGUUAUUGAUUGUAAUAAACUAUUAUACCGGCUUUUUACAGUAGCAGACGUAUCGCAUCUUACGGAUCUCUUACCUUACUGAAGUAAGCUCUGGACUUUCUAGACCACAAGUUUAUAAUUCUAUAAUCUUUCUUCUAGAUAGGAGUUCUGUUAUGGUGUGUCUGUGUCAGGAAAACUCUCAAGACUUUUGAAGGGUCGUUUUAGUACACUGUUAAGUCUGAGCUCCUCUAAUGAAGAAGGCUCAAGAUGGUUUGUCAAUGGUCUUCUCUUCUCCAGUCGUCUUUGUUAACUCUUUGAUGGUUUCUUCUCCUCUCUGUUUUGGCUCCUUUCUGAUAUUUUCUUUACUGCAUCUCUUCAAUGAUAUUAGUACGUCUGUUUGAGAUGAUGGCUUCUCUUUCCUAUGAACUAAUUUUUUGAAUAGGAAUUUAGAUGGUGCAAGGGGAAGGUCUUAUUUUACUUGCUGGUGGAACUCAUUAUGGAGUAAUUGAACGGAAAGUAAAUUAAUGUUGUCCAGGAACUUUGGAUUGUUACCCUCCCUGUUGGUUUGUGUUUACUAUUAUUGUUUGCUGGGCAGUAAGCUUCAGGUGCCUUCUUCCUCGUUUUUUUGGGAGGCUUCAUUGAUAUUUGGGAACACGCUAACGUUGCUUCGGUGAGACAAGUUGAGUCCGGUGAUUGGUUGACUUCGAGGGAAGAAAGCUUCGGUUUCCUCUGCAAGAAGUCGUAUUUAGUCUGUCGGUUUUCUCGGCCAUGUUCCCUUGUUUCCUAUUUUGCUAGGCUACUUAUCUUGGGGGUUGAUAGUUGAUAUUGGUAACACUUGUUUUGCUGCUCUCUGAAGGUUAAUAAAUAUCUGCUAAAGGAAGGUUUUGAGGAUGCAAUACAAUGUAUUUCAGUUUUUUUGCUCCAGGGAGUCAAGGUAACGUUGAAGUUCUUCCGAGUCCUAUUCGUCGUUUUUUUGUUAUGGAAACGUUUUGCUUUGGACAAAAUCUUCUACAGUUCAGUAGUCUGGUGUUUUGUUGGCUUUGAGGGAAGUAACCUAUGGUUUCACAAGAGUGUCUCUGGUUAGUUAAUUUUGUUGGCUGGCCUUCACGGGAAGUAAGCUUAGCUUCUUCGGGUUUGUCAGUCCCCAUCCUCUCUUUCCUUGUCCUGAUUUUUUGAAUUCUCGAGUUACACGUUAUUUGGCUCACGGAAGGGUAAUGUAGUAAUGUGUAUUUGCUAUAGAUUUGGAGGAUGGAAUAUCAUGGAUAUUUGAGAUUUGCUCUUUCCUUGAGAUAGUGACAAGUCUUCGGUGAUUUGAUAUGGCUGGGAUGGAUGAAGCUCAAAUACGGUGGCGUUUGCUUCUGUAUAUGUUGACUACUCUGAAGGUGUUUACCAAGAAGCUGGUGCCUUUUUUGUCUUCCUCUAGGUUUGCAGUAAUAUCACGUAGUCAGUAUCAUCUUAGUACAUCUGUUUUGUAUUUGGUUUUGUGGAAGAGUUUCGCUCUCGACAUGAUGCUCUUUUCUUGUGCACUACUACUGCAUGGUUUCAUCAUUUGCCUCGUUUUUUUCUGGUUUGAUGGAUGGUAACACAGGGCAUAUGAAUCUCGCCUUUGUCAGAAUAUGGUCGGAAGUGUGUCCUAGCGACUGUGAGGGUACGGUGUGCCACUCAUGUACUUGUGCAGAUUUUCUUUACACGGCGCUUUGUUUCAACAGUGUGCCGCUAGACCUUUUUUUGGUGUCUUCCAGUCGCAGAGCUUUGCCCACCAGACCCGAGAUUGUAGCUCUAAUGGAGAAGUGUGGGGGUAUGGGUUUAUGAUGACAUGCUCCAAGAUAUCAAAACACGUUUUCUCCUCCAAUAUGCAAUACCAGCGAUUGAGAGAGAGCAGAACAAGGAAGGAUGUUCGAUGGUCUUCACUACCUCCCAUAGCUUCACCAGGAUGCUUAUCAUCUGAAAUCGUUACGGCUUCGGUUUUGUACUAGCUUUCUAGUUGAGCUCAACAGAAACAGUUUGGAAAGGAAGGCAGCAAGAGGCCUUGGAAACUUACGUAGCCUAAACCUCACAAGCUGAAAGCGCCCAACCCAGUUUCCAGACCUUCUGAAGGCGACUAAUCUUGAGGCUGUUAAACCCUCCAGUUGUUUUAACUGGGAAGUAUGACAGAACAUAGACGAAGCUGCAAUACAAGUUAAAAGGCUUCAAGACAAGAAACAGGAGGACUUUGGACCUUCGGUGUUACCGCUACUGGCUAGAUCUCUUUUUCUAUACUACUGUAAAUAUAUGGUCUAUGUUGAUGUAUCAAUUAUUCAGUCAUUAAAGCCUACUUUUGGGCCAACUGGUAUAUUCAGCUAUUCAUUGAAAUGCCUAUAAAAAAAAUUAAAAACGACCA